CUUGAAUGGUUUUUACCACAGUUCAUGUUUACUUUACUGUGUUUCAGCUCAUUUCCACCAUGUUAUAGAACAACGGCGCCUCGGCAAGGACAGCACGAGUGUUAUCCUUGUGGUGGCAGGGAUGCAGUUCUUGUGAUACGGAGUUCAGGGUGGCUCAGGUGCAGGAAAUGAACAGACGGUCUGUGAAUGCAACACUGAUUUAUUUACAAAGGUUUUUAGGACUACAAGCGGAAACUAGGACUUCAACAGGAAACGGAACAAAAGGCUCUGGAUCUUACAGCGGCACCUAGGGGCCGGGAGGUACUGUAACAAGACUAAAUAAUCACUAACUCGCGGUAGGGAACACCAAGGCGAGAAAGGCCAAUCUCAGGAAUACAAAACAAGACACGAGGCUAUCUUUACGAGAAUAGCGAGAGAAUGGAUGAAGCUUGAUUGGUUGCAUUCCACCUGUUCCUGAGCUGGCUGAUUGUGGCAGAUGGAGAACACCUGUCGCUCCUCCUGCCCUGCUGGACUGCCCUAAAAGGAAAGAAGAUGAGAGGGAGGGGGAGAUCACUACCUAGGCCUGGCAGCAGCCAGCCUGACAUCUUGUACACAACUCUGUUUGGUGCCUUCACUGCCUUCAUAUUCAUGAGAACUGGUCAUGUGGGUCCAGUUUUGUGCCAUUCCUUCUGUAACAGCCAGGGUUUGCCUGACGUCACCUCUGCCCUGCAACACCCUCAACGCCCACCUCUGCUCUUCUCGUAUCUGAUGGGAAUCCUGCUAUUUCUGGUGCUGCUAUUCCCUCUGACAGAUCCUUUCUUCUAUGGUGCCAUUCCCGUUUGCAGCCUGGCUCCCCCUCCCACGUCUGUAUGUUAAAUUAAAUGAAAUUACAUACUGUCCA